rnacentral:rRNA from 1 species
UACGUAGGGGGCUAGCGUUGUCCGGAAUCAUUGGGCGUAAAGCGCGCGUAGGCUCCCAGAUAAGUCCGGUGUGAAAGUCAAAGGCUCAACCUUUGAAUGCCGCUGGAAACUGUCUGGCUAGAGUCCGGAAGGGGCGAGUGGAAUUCCUGGUGUAGCGGUGAAAUGCGCAGAUAUCAGGAGGAACACCAAUGGCGAAGGCGAGUCUCUGGACAUUUCCUGACGCUGAGGCACGAAAGCCAGGGGAGCAAACGGG